CUUCUCCAUUGGCUUUAAUCAAAAGAUAGGACUUCUUAGGAUAAAUAAUCAGAUCUACAACUUCAGGAAAUAGAGUAGUUUCCUGCUUUGCCUGUUAAUUAAGAAGCAUAAGAAUACCAAAGUGGUCAGAAAACAACCUCAAUAUUCACAUUCUUAUAAUCAUUGUUGUGUUUUCUGGCAUAAAUAUUUCCACCUUUUAAGCUAAGAAAUCUAGACCAUCAGAGCCUACAAUUUAGAAGACAGGAAGCAACACUUUUGCAGAUGGAUCACUAAAGGUAAUAGUUCAUGGAGUUAUUUUAAUUUUCACACCUUAAUUCCUGGACCCAUGGAUCCUGGCCAUGGGAGAAAUAUCAUGAUAUAUUUUAUACUUAUUUGGAGGAUAUAUCACAUCCUGGAGGCAUUUCUCCAAUCCUGUAUCCAACUAGGUGUUUCCCUCUAGUUGUCACAAUAAUUGAGUCUUCAAAAGACUGUCCAGCAUUCCAGCAAGACUUCUGCUUCAAAAGAUAGUAAAAUAUGAAAAAACGAGUGAACUCCAUGAAUAUGAGUCCAUUACCACAUUUAAUUAAUGCAAAGUGAGUUCCUUGACCAGAAGUCAUGUGCAAUACUAUGAUGGUGGAUAAGAAAUUCUGUAAAUUGACAUGUGAUGGUUGGACAGGAAAAAUGCAUUCAGGUAAAGCAAAUCUAUAUCCAGAGUACUUCCAUAACGUAAGUAUUUCCAUAAUGGAAGCAGUUUGCUGCCUCAACCUGUCAUCAGAUAGCUAGCUGAUCAUAUUGGGGAAUGGUCCCAUAAUGGAAACUUAGUGUUGGUCUCACCUACUAGCACAGUAAACAGUGUGCAGUGAGGGUAGCCAGUUCAACCUUUGUGAAUAUAACUCCAUGUUGGGAGACCUCCAUCUCUGACACCAUAGUCACUUUGUUCCAGAGUUCAUUGACUAGGGACAGGAGUGGCUAGAGAAAGGGAUGAUUGAUAUCCACAAAACAAUUCAUUAUCUCCAGUUGAUUAAAAUUCUCCUCUGUUGAUGUCAUCCUUUCUAAUGAGUUACAUAAAACACUAGUACAUUCUUUUCCUUUGUACAGAGAGGUGCAUAAAAAAACAACGCAUUUUAGACCUUUUUGUUACCAAUGUUUCCAGUUAUGUUACUUCUAAUUUCCAUCCAAACUAUUGAGUCUCUGUCUUUUGAAUGAUUUAGACACAUAUCUAU
rnacentral:lncRNA from 1 species